rfam:Bacillus sp. OV166 genome assembly, contig: Ga0115450_12
GAUUGCUUUCCUCGAGUAAGAACUGGCCAUUCGCUCGUAGCGAGUCUUGGAGGGCUAAAGGUAACUUUAGUCUUUAAGCGUAGACAGUUAGGUGGAGCAGCCGUCAAGGCUGAAAAUCUUAUGGAGUGAAAGUCUCCUGUCAUCAAUUGACCG